rnacentral:pre_miRNA from 1 species
AGUGGGAUAGCUGGGUCAAAUAGUAGUUCCAUUCCUAAUUUUUUGAGGAAUCUCCAUACUGCUUUCCAGAGUGGUUGCACCAAUUUGCAGUCCCAUGAGCAAU